GACGAACGCUGGCGGCGUGCUUAACACAUGCAAGUCGAACGGAAAGGCCCUGCUUUUGUGGGGUGCUCGAUUGGCGAACGGGUGAGUAACACGUGAGUAACCUGCCCUUGACUUUGGGAUAACUUCAGGAAACUGGGGCUAAUACCGGAUAGGAGCUCCUGCUGCAUGGUGGGCGUUGGAACGUUUCGGCGGUUGGGGAUGGACUCGCGGCUUAUCAGCUUGUUGGUGGGGUAGUGGCUUACCAAGGCUUUGACGGGUAGCCGGCCUGAGAGGGUGAACGGCCACAUUGGGACUGAGAUACGGACCAGACUCCUACGGGAGGCAGCAGUGGGGAAUAUUGCACAAUGGGCGGAAGCCUGAUGCAGAAACGCCGCGUGCGGGAUGACGGCCUUCGGGUUGUAAACAGCUGUCGCCUGUGACGAAGCGUGAGUGACGGUAACGGGUAAAGAAGCACCGGCUAACUACGUG
rnacentral:rRNA from 1 species